rnacentral:tRNA from 1 species
ACCUGGGAUAGCUCAGUUGGUAGAGCAUGAGACUCUUAAUCUCAGGGUUGUGGGUUCAAGCCCCAGGUUGGGUG